CCCUAGUAACUGCGAGUGAAGAGGGAAAAGCUCAAAUUUAAAAUCUGGCAGUCUUUGAUUGUCCGAGUUGUAAUUUAGAGAAGUGUUACCCGUGUUGGACCGUGUACAAGUUUCCUGGAAUGGAACGUCAUAGAGGGUGAGAAUCCCGUCUUUGACACGGAUCCCAAUGCAUUGUGGUAUACUUUCGAAGAGUCGAGUUGUUUGGGAAUGCAGCUCUAAAUGGGUGGUAAAUUCCAUCUAAAGCUAAAUAUUGGGGAGAGACCGAUAGCGAACAAGUACCGUGAGGGAAAGAUGAAAAGAACUUUGGAAAGAGAGUUAAACAGUACGUGAAAUUGCUAAAAGGGAAACGCUUGAAGUCAGUCGCGUUGUCCGGGGAUCAGCCUUCCUUUUGGUUGGUGUACUUCCUGGUUGACGGGUCAGCAUCAGUUUUAAUCGGUGGAUAAAAGUGAGAGGAAUGUGGCAUCUUCGGGUGUGUUAUAGCCUUUUAUUGUAUACAUCGGUUGGGACUGAGGAACUCAGCACGCCGCAAGGCCGGGUUUUUAACCACGUUCGUGCUUAGGAUGCUGGCAUAAUGGCUUUAAUCGACCCGUCUUGAAACACGGACCAAGGAGUCUAACAUGCCUGCGAGUGUUUGGGUGGAAAACCCGAGCGCGUAAUGAAAGUGAAAGUUAGGAUCCCUGUCGUGGGGAGCACUGACGCCCUGUCCAGACCUUUUGUGACGGUACAGCGGUUGAGCAUGUAUGUUGGGACCCGAAAGAUGGUGAACUAUGCCUGAAUAGGGUGAAGCCAGAGGAAACUCUGGUGGAGGCUCGUAGCGAUUCUGACGU
rnacentral:rRNA from 1 species